rnacentral:rRNA from 1 species
UGGGGAAUUUUGGACAAUGGGCGAAAGCCUGAUCCAGCAAUGCCGCGUGUGUGAAGAAGGCCUUCGGGUUGUAAAGCACUUUUGUCCGGAAAGAAAUCCUUGGCUCUAAUACAGUCGGGGGAUGACGGUACCGGAAGAAUAAGCACCGGCUAACUACGUGCCAGCAGCCGCGGUAAUACGUAGGGUGCAAGCGUUAAUCGGAAUUACUGGGCGUAAAGCGUGCGCAGGCGGUUUGCUAAGACCGAUGUGAAAUCCCCGGGCUCAACCUGGGAACUGCAUUGGUGACUGGCAGGCUAGAGUAUGGCAGAGGGGGGUAGAAUUCCACGUGUAGCAGUGAAAUGCGUAGAGAUGUGGAGGAAUACCGAUGGCGAAGGCAGCCCCCUGGGCCAAUACUGACGCUCAUGCACGAAAGCGUGGGGAGCAAAACAGGAUUAGAUACCCCUGGUAGUCCACGCCCUAAACGAUGUCAACUAGUUGUUGGGGAUUCAUUUUCCUUAGUAACGUAGCUAACGCGUGAAGUUGACCGCCUGGGGAGUACGGUCGCAAGAUUAAAACUCAAAUGAAUUGACGGGGUCAUAGCUGUUU